GACGAACGCUGGCGGCGUGCCUAAUACAUGCAAGUAGAACGCAGUUGCGAACGGGUGAGUAACGCGUAGGUAAACUGCCGUAUAGCGGGGGACAAAGAUUGGAAACGCUAGCUAAUACCUCAUAUUUUGAGAUUGACCUGCGUUGUAUUGGCUAGUUGGUGAGGUAAAGGCUCACCAAGGCGACGAUACAUAGCCGGCCUGAGAGGGUGGUCGGCCACUCCGGGAACUAGAAACGGCCCCGACUCCUACGGGGAGCCACCGUAGGGAAACUUCGGCAAUGGACGGAAAGUCUACCGAGCAACUCCGCGUUAGUGAAGAAGGUUUUCGGAUCGUAAAGCUCUGUUGUUAGAGAAGCGGUAACUAACCAGAAAGGGACGGCUAACUACGUGCCAGCAGCCGCGGUAAUAC
rnacentral:rRNA from 1 species